AUUGAACGCUGGCGGCAGGCCUAACACAUGCAAGUCGAACGAGCGGCGGACGGGUGAGUAAUGUCUGGGAAACUGCCCGAUAGAGGGGGAUAACUACUGGAAACGGUCGCUAAUACCGCAUACCAUCGGAUGUACCCAGAUGGGAUUAGCUAGUAGGUGGGGUAACGGCUCACCUAGGCGACGAUCCCUAGCUGGUCUGAGAGGAUGACCAGCCACACUGGAACUGAGACACGGUCCAGACUCCUACGGGAGGCAGCAGUGGGGAAUAUUGCACAAUGGGCGCAAGCCUGAUGCAGCCAUGCCGCGUGUAUGAAGAAGGCCUUCGGGUUGUAAAGUACUUUCAGCGAGGAGGCGUUACUCGCAGAAGAAGCACCGGCUAACUCCGUGCCAGCAGCCGCGGUAAUAC
rnacentral:rRNA from 1 species